rnacentral:rRNA from 1 species
CCUACGGGAGGCAGCAGUCGAGAAUCAUUCACAAUGGGGGAAACCCUGAUGGUGCGACGCCGCGUGGGGGAAUGAAGGUCUUCGGAUUGUAAACCCCUGUCAUGUGGGAGCAAAUUAAAAAGAUAGUACCACAAGAGGAAGCGACGGCUAACUCUGUGCCAGCAGCCGAGGUAAUACAGAGGGUUCAAGCGUUGUUCGGAAUCACUGGGCGUAAAGCGUGCGUAGGAGGGUCCGUAAGUCGUUUGUGAAAGGCGCGGGCUCAACCCGCGGACGGCACAUGAUACUGCGAGACUAGAGUAAUGGAGGGGCAACCGGAAUUCUUGGUGUAGCAGUGAAAUGCGUAGAUAUCGAGAGGAACACUCGUGGCGAAGGCGGGUUCCUGGACAUUAACUGACGCUGAGGCACGAAGGCCAGGGGAGCGAAAGGGAUUAGAUACCCUUGUAGUC